ensembl:snRNA U6 U6 spliceosomal RNA
GUGCUCGCUUUGGCAGCACAUAUACUAAAAUUGGAAGGAUACAGAGAAGAUUAGCACGGCCCCUGUGCAAGGAUGACACACAAAUUCGUGAAGCAUUCCAUAUUAAA